AGGCUGGGGUGGAUGGACCCUGCGAGGUCCCAGGUGACUUCAGCCCCGACAACCUCACAUUCCUCCUCCGGAGUGUUGUUCCGAGUGGAGCCACCCCCUUCCUCCUCUUCUGGAGCUUUCCAACCGCUGUAAAUAGACCCUGAAGUGCCUUGCUGGCCUGGAGUAGCUUCCCCAAGAGAACCCUCUCAAUCUUCCUGCUUUCAAGUACUUAAUUAGUCCUAAAUGAAGAGUCCUCCAAAAGCAUACAGCACUUUGCACAUUUGCUGACGUAAUCGCAUUUGCGCAUCUGUUGUUGCCACUGCUAGUCAUCCUGGAAGCUUUCCUUCCCCUUCGGGCUCCCGUGAAGGUGACUUCGUGAGCCCUGAGAGCAGCAGCACUUUCCAAAGCACAUCCUCUCCUUCCAAGGAAACCUUCUGAAUUCUACAGCUCGAUUUGUCAUUCCACCAAACAAGGGUUGAACUGACCCACCCCAAAACAUUCCUGAACUUCACACGUGAACACAGAUUGCCAUGAUUCGGUGCUGCCAGGUAAAUAACUCAGGACUGAGAGCUUCCGGCUGCUGAGAGGGAGUGUGAGCCAGGGAACAGGCCAGGAAGACGCCUGAGCAGCAGUGGAAUUUCAUGGACAAUUGGCGUUGAGCACUAACUGGGAGGUAAUGAGAGAAGGAGGAUACAGGUAAAGGCUGUUUGAAUUUAAAUUCUUUUUCUUUGGGGGGAUGGGGGACAGGUAUUUUUU
rnacentral:lncRNA from 1 species